rnacentral:rRNA from 1 species
UACGGAGGGUGCCAGCGUUAUCCGGAUUCCCUGGGUUUAAAGGGUGCGUAGGCGGGCAGGUAAGUCAGUGGUGAAAUCUCCGAGCUUAACUCGGAAACUGCCAUUGAUACUAUUUGUCUUGAAUAUUGUGGAGGUAAGCGGAAUAUGUCAUGUAGCGGUGAAAUGCUUAGAUAUGACAUAGAACACCAAUUGCGAAGGCAGCUUACUACACAAUGAUUGACGCUGAGGCACGAAAGCGUGGGGAUCAAACAGG